rnacentral:rRNA from 1 species
GACGAACGCUGGCGGCGUGCUUAACACAUGCAAGUCGAACGGAAAGGCCCUGCUUUUGUGGGGUGCUCGAGUGGCGAACGGGUGAGUAACACGUGAGUAACCUGCCCUUGACUUUGGGAUAACUUCAGGAAACUGGGGCUAAUACCGGAUAGGAGCUCCUGCUGCAUGGUGGGGGUUGGAAAGUUUCGGCGGUUGGGGAUGGACUCGCGGCUUAUCAGCUUGUUGGUGGGGUAGUGGCUUACCAAGGCUUGGACGGGUAGCCGGCCUGAGAGGGUGACCGGCCCCAUUGGGACUGGGAUACGGCCCAGACGCCUACGGGAGGCAGGAGUGGGGACUAGUGCACAAUGGGCGGAAGCAGGAAGCAGCAACGCCGCGUGGGGAAUGACGGCCUUCGGGUUGGAAACCGCUUUCGCCUGUGACGAAGCGUGAGUGACGGUAAUGGGUAAAGAAGCACCGGCUAACUACGU